CAUGAGUGAACGUGGAUGGCGUAUGCAGUUGUAAACAGCAUUAUGAAGAAUGGUGGCCUGGGGAGAUGUACUAGUGGGGGUGUUGGCCUCUCCAUAAAGGACUUGACUUUUCCUCGGUAUGGAAAAUCAACCUUCUCAAUCUUCUAUAAAGUGCCCUGUGAACACAGCUUCACUUCACCCCCAGCUCCAACUCUUUGAACCAGAUGUUCUCCCAAGGUCCUUCAGAAAAGAUAUUUAGAAUGCCUCUUGUUAAGAAGAAAGGUGUAGGGGCCAUAACUUCUCUGGUGAAGGACCCUACACUCCAUGUGAAGCCCACUGUGGAUGCCACUUUCUCCAGAAAGGCUCUCUGGGAUCCCCGAUGAUGAAUUCCUCCCUCGAUAAGCACAGUGAUAUAUGAUAAAGGAUGAAUGGGUCUUCCUCUCCACAUCAGGGAGUCAGGAUCCAUUCUUUGUAUCCUCAGGAGCACCAACCCUGGGAUUUGUCACCUAGCAGGAAGGCCUGAAAGAAUGAAGAAGCACCUGCCUAAGCCCGUGAUGCCCAUGCUCUCCUUAGGACCACCCUACCACGUCAGCAUCAUCACACCCAUUUUGCAGAUGAGGAUGCUGAGGCUCGCAGAGUGGACAAGAUUCAUCCAAAGCUCUGCAGUUAGAAGGCAGUUCUCAGCCACCCUAGGAAAUUAAACACUACCAUGCUGUUUUUGUUUUGUUUUUUUUUAAGAAAGGAUGUUUUCCUUCUGGUGUGUAAACAGGAGAAGGGCUCCCCGAGAAGGUCAUUGUAAAUAUCAUUACUUCUCCUCAGGGCUCUGUCAGCUUAUGUUACUUUAUUUAUCAACAUUCCA
rnacentral:lncRNA from 12 species